rnacentral:rRNA from 1 species
CGAUUGCUAAUACCCCAUAUGCUUUUUAAGUGAAACGACUGUUAAUACCGCAUAAUGUCUACGGACCAAAGUGUGGGACCUUCGGGCCACAUGCUAUCGGAUGCGCCUACGUGGGAUUAGCUAGUUGGUGAGGUAAUGGCUCACCAAGGCGACGAUCUCUAGCUGGUUUGAGAGGAUGAUCAGCCACACUGGAACUGAGACACGGUCCAGACUCCUACGGGAGGCAGCAGUGGGGAAUAUUGGACAAUGGGCGAAAGCCUGAUCCAGCCAUGCCGCGUGUGUGAAGAAGGUCUUCGGAUUGUAAAGCACUUUAAGUUGGGAGGAAGGGUAGUAACCUAAUACGUUGCUACUUUGACGUUACCGACAGAAUAAGCACCGGCUAACUUCGUG